GACGGAGGGGGCAAGCGUUGUCCGGAAUUACUGGGCGUAAAGGGCGUGUAGGUGGCCUCGUGCGUCGGCGCUGAAACCUGCGGGCUUAACCCGUAGACGCGUGCCGAUACGACGGGGCUUGAGGUAGGGAGGGGGUUGCGGAAUUCCGGGUGUAGUGGUGAAAUGCGUAGAUAUCCGGAGGAACGCCUGCGGCGAAAGCGGCAACCUGGCCCUAACCUGACACUGAGACGCGAAAGCGUGGGUAGCGAACCGG
rnacentral:rRNA from 1 species